AGCUCUGGGCAUUUAAGAGAGACUUGGAUGAUCCCAGUUACAGCCUGUUCACUUCAGGAAGCCGAGCUGGCCUGGAUUCCCACCAUGGCCUGUGCCCUUCUCCUUCUUGUUCUGCUCGCAUACAGCUCAGGGGUCCGGUCGCAGCCUGUGGUGACUCAGGAGCCUUCAGUGUCUUCGGUGUCCCCAGGAGGGACUGUCACUCUGUCCUGCAGCCUGAGCACCGGAGCCAUCACCACUGGCAACUAUCCCUCCUGGUACCAGCAGAAACCUGGCUCUGCCCCUCAGCUGCUUACUUAUGAAAGUAAUAAGAGACCCUCUGGGGUCCCCACCCGGUUCUCCGGGUCCAUCUCUGGUCAGAAGGCCGCCUUAACCAUCACCGGGGCCCAAGCUGAGGACGAGGCCGACUACUACUGUGCUGUGUAUACUGGCAGCAGCAGUGCGUUACGACACUGUGUUUCAUUUUGA